rnacentral:lncRNA from 1 species
CAACUUCAGGGAGAUAAGAUUUGUAUAUGUUAUCUUUUCCACUGUAACUUUACGGAGAUAAAAUUUAUGGUUUUAACCUGCUCCUCUGUAACUUCAGGGAUAUAAAAUUGUCAUGAUAACUUUAAUCCGUUCCAUUACAACUUCAGGGGUAUAAGAUUUGUAGUUUCACUGAUCUAUUACACCAUUUUCUGGGGAACAUGACCUGUAGAAUUU